GCCUUUGUGCUGUAGUGGUCAGCACGCUGGGCGCGUAUUCCAGAGGUCCGUGGUUCGAGUCCUGUCGAAGGCG
rnacentral:tRNA from 1 species